UUGGAGACCUUGGCGCACUAGAGCCGGGGACACCACUGGCGCAGGAGUACAGACAACUCCUUUUUCUUUUUCUUUCUCCUCGAUCUUGGGCUCUACAUGAUUGCUAGAGGGACAUUUCACCUCUUACCCUUCUUUUUCUAGUCAACUUCACCUCUGCAGGGCCGCUGGACAAGUGGUAGUUCUUUCUAACUUUGUGUCAUUUUGUCCCCUAAGAAGGCCCUGACCUGCGGGGGCAGUAGCCCAGUACAGAGCCAACUCAAUGGAGUCCUUUUGCAGCCUGGGUGUGGGAGAUAAGCAAGACUGGCCCUCUGUUGCAGGUCUCAGCCAGAGAGAAGAACCACAAUGCCCCAUGACCUUUCCCAAUUUGCUGGAAUGAGGAUUGGCUUCAUUACUAGAGCCAGAAGAAAUUCUUGGCUUGGAGCGAUUGGUUCUCACCUUUAAUCCCAGCAAUCAGAAGUCUGCUGUCUAGAGCCUAGUACAGGUCUGUCCUGGUUGAAGACACCUCUCCCAUGCCAAGGACCGUUCCGGACCACCCCAUUCUCAGGGUCUCUGAGGGAUGAAGCUCAUCUUCCAACUGGUGAGGAGUUGGCGGCGCGCGGAGGAGCAGGUGGGAGAAACUCUCCUUACCUCCGUCAUCAGGCGGUCAGCGCCGCUGUUCUCCUCAUCCUUGAAGAUUAUG